UUCUGUUUCUUUAAGUCAUUGGUGAAGUGAAGUUGCUUUUGUUUGGGUUAUGCAUUUCCAAACUCCUUUUUUGUGUUUGUGGUUUUAAGAUUGUCCUGUUUCUGAACUUCUAUCUAUCACUCAACCUGAUUGUUUCUUGCUCUUAUGAUGCCAAUUUUGAAAGUUGAAGACUAGCUGAAGGCAAUUUUGUGAAUGAAAGUUUUCUUCAACUACAUGGCCAAUGCUUAAUCUCAAUAUAUCUUGUUUGCCAUUUGAAUUCCAUCAAAACAAGGAUCUUCUUUUGAAGGUUGAUGACUGGUUCGGGUUGUGUACGCAUCAAUCAAUCAUGGAUGUUGUUUUUGGGUUUAGUUUUUCUUAACAAGAAAAUCAGUUGUUGGUUCCUUACUGUUAUAUGGACAAUCAAACAUUCAGGGUCAGCUUAGGUGUUGGCAUAUGUUCUUGUCUGGUAGUGAUUGCUCUCUGUCUUGUAUAAUUGCAUAUAUGUUGAUAUUAUGUGGACAAAUUUUGAAGGGUUUUCUUUGGCCAUAUAUUUGAUGUUCUGUUUGUUCUGGUUCCCUGUAUGCCUUACUUUUCAAUUUAUAUGUUUCCUAAGAAAAUUCAACAAUAAAACUUUUCUUUUAAAGACUUCUCUGCUAGCCUGAACAUAGAACUCUAGAAAUUGUCCAGAUGAUGGAGUGAUAUUUGGGAAUUAAGUGCAUGUAUGGAAUUUGGGAAAUCUACCAGUUAAGGGCCUUUUAAUUUCAAUCUGUGGCAGAGAUGGGUGGAGUGAUAAUUUGCUUAAAAGGAAAUGUAGAGCAGGAGGGAGAUGAAAAUAUUUGAGUCUUUAUUCAUUCACUGCUGUGCAAAACCAGAGAGAAGAUCAUGUAACAAUUUGGAGCCAGGUUGGAGAACACAGCUGAAAUUUUGACAUCAUAGCUAUAACAGAAAGCUGCAAAUGCCAUCUCAUGAGGCCAGACCAAAUCAAUCAUAGCAAAAACUGUUAGUGGGCAUGUGUUGUUUAGGACCUGUUGUUGUUGGUAGGUGUGUGUGGUGCCCCCACCUACCAAUUCAACACAAGAGGCUCCAGUUUCAAACUUUCAACUGCUGUGACAAAAAGUUGAAGGGCUCUCAAGUUGUCCCUGAACAAAAGCAAAGCAUGGAAGCAAAAUAUCAAAACAAGGGAUUAUUGGUUGGUUGGUGGAAACUAAAUACUGAUGGCUGCAGGAAAGGUGAGGAAGGGAUUAUUGGUGCUGGUGGUAUUAUCAGAAAUGCAAUGGGGACUGGGUUGGUGGAUUCUCUGCUAAUAUUGGGAGGGGGUCUGUUUUACAAGCUAAGUUAUGGGCCAUCCUCUAUGGAUUGCGGCUUGCUAACCAAUCGAAUUAUUUUCCCCUUAUUGUGGAGUCUGAUUCCUGUUUGGCGGUGGACCUCGUGAAUGCGCCUAGUUGUGACCCUCU